AUUGAACGCUGGCGGCAGGCCUAACACAUGCAAGUCGAACGAGUGGCGGACGGGUGAGCAAUGUCUGGGAAACGGCCUGAUGGAGGGGGAUAACAACUGGAAACUGUAGCUAAUACCGCAUACCAUCGGAUGUGCCCAGAUGGGAUUAGCUAGGGGGUGGGGUAAAGGCGCACCAAGGCGACGAUCCCUAUCUGGUCUGAGAGGAUGACCAGCCACACUGGAACUGAGACACGGUCCAGACUCCUACGGGAGGCAGCAGUGGGGAAUAUUGCACAAUGGGCGAAAGCCUGAUACAGCCAUGCCGCGUGUGUGAAGAAGGCCUUCGGGUUGUAAAGUACUUUCAGCGGGGAGGCGUUACCCGAAGAAGAAGCACCGGCUAACUCCGUGCCAGCAGCCGCGGUAAUUC
rnacentral:rRNA from 1 species